rnacentral:rRNA from 1 species
GACGAACGCUGGCGGCGUGCUUAACACAUGCAAGUCGAACGGAAAGGCCCCUUUGGUGGUACUCGAGUGGCGCACGGGUGAGUAACACGUGAGUAACCUGCCCUUGACUUCGGGAUAACUUCAGUAAACUGGGGCUAAUACCGGUUAGGAAUCCUUUCUUCAUGGUGGGGGUUGGAAAGCUUCUGCGGUUUUGUAUGUACUCGCGGCUUAUCAGCUUGUUUGUGGGGUAGUGGCUUACCAAGGCUUUGACGGGUAGCCGGACUGAGAGGGGGACCGGCCACAUUGGGACUGAGAUACGGCACAGACUCCUAAGGGAGGCAGCAGUGGGGAAUAUUGCACAAUGGGCGGAAGCCUGAUGCAGCAACGCCGCGUGCGGGAUGACGGGCUUCGGGUUGUAAACCGCUUUCAGCAGGGGCGAAGCUUGUGGUGACGGUACCUGCAGAAGAAGCACCGGCUAACUACGUG